rnacentral:rRNA from 1 species
UACGUAGGGGGCAAGCGUUGUCCGGAUUUAUUGGGCGUAAAGAGCGUGUAGGCGGCCGUACAGGUCAGCUGUGAAAACUCGAGGCUCAACCUCGAGACGUCGGUUGAAACCGUACGGCUAGAGUCCGGAAGAGGAGAGUGGAAUUCCCGGUGUAGCGGUGAAAUGCGUAGAUAUCUGGAGGAACACCGGUGGCGAAGGCGGCGUCCUGGACCAACACUGACACUGAUGAGCGAAAGCCAGGGGAGCAAACGGG